GGGCCGUAAAUCGGAUUCUGGGCGUAAGCGUGCGUAGGUGGUCCUUUAAGUCCGAUGUGAAAGCCCUGGGCUCAACCUGGGAACUGCAUUGGAUACUGGGCGACUAGAGUGUGGUAGAGGGGGUGGAAUUUCCUGGUGUAGCAGUGAAAUGCGUAGAGAUCAGGAGGAACAUCCAUGGCGAAGGCAGCUACCUGGACCAACACUGACACUGAGGCACGAAAGCGUGGGGAGCAAACAGGAUUAGAUACCCUGGUAGUCCACGCCCUAAACGAUGCGAACUGGAUGUUGGGUGCAAUUUGACCCGCAUGAUCCAACCUAACCCGUUAAUUUCCCCCCCUGGGGAGUACGGUCCCAAGACUGAAACUCAAAGGAAUUGACGGGGGCCCGCACAACCGGUGGAGUAUGUGGUUUAAUUCAAUGCACCCCGAAAAACCUUACCUGGCCUUGACAUGUCGAGAACUUUCCAAAGAUGGAUUGGUGCCUUCGGGAACUCGAACACAGGUGCUGCAUGGCUGUCGUCAGCUCGUGUCUUGAGAUGUUGGGUUAAGUCCCGCAACGAGCGCAACCCUUGUCCUUAUUUGCCACCCCGUAAGGGUGGGGAACUCUAAA
rnacentral:rRNA from 1 species